rnacentral:SRP_RNA from 1 species
GGCGGGCCUCCCCGCAUUGCAAGGUAGUGAACCUGGUCAGGGGCGGAAGCCAGCAGCCACAGCUAUUUAUUGCAAGUGCCGGGGGUCAGGCUCGCCACC